CGAGCGAUGCCGAGGGUCCGGCGCCGAGUUUGCAAGCAGGGGGUUAGGGGUUCGAGUCCCCUUGGCUCCACCA
rnacentral:tRNA from 1 species